rnacentral:rRNA from 1 species
GACGAACGCUGGCGGCGUGCUUAACACAUGCAAGUCGAACGGGAAGUUCCUGUUUUGGGGCGUUGCUCGGGUUGCGAACUGGUGAGCAACACUUGAGUUAGCUGUCCUUGACUGUAGGAUAACUUCAGGAAACUGGGUCUAAUAGCUGAUAGGAGCUCCUGCCGUAUGGUGGGGGUUGGAAAGUUUCGCCGGUUGGGGAUGGACUCGCGUCUUAUCAGGUUGUUGGUGGGGUAGUGGCUUACCAAGGCUUUGACUGGUAGCCGUCCUGAGAGGGUGAGCGGCCACACUGGGACUGAGAUACGGCCCAGACUCCUCCGCGAGGCAGCAGUGGGGAAUAUAGUACAAUGGGCUGAAGCCUGACGCAGCCCAGCAGUGUGCGGGAUGACAGCCUUCGGGUUGUAAACCGCUUUCGCCUGUGCCGAAGUGAGAGUGACGGUAAUGGGUAAAGAAGCACCGGCUAACUACGUG